GUGGAUUAGAUACCCGGGUAGUCCACGCCGUAAACGGUGGGCACUAGUUGUGGGGACCUUCCACGGUCUCUGCGACGCAGCUAACGCAUUAAGUGCCCCGCCUGGGGAGUACGAUCGCAAGAUUAAAACUCAAAGGAAUUGACGGGGCCCCGCACAAGCAGCGGAGCAUGCGGCUUAAUUCGACGCAACGCGAAGAACCUUACCAAGGCUUGACAUAUACAGGAAUAUGGCAGAGAUGUCAUAGCCGCAAGGUCUGUAUACAGGUGGUGCACGGCCGUCGCCAACU
rnacentral:rRNA from 1 species